rnacentral:rRNA from 1 species
CAGCUCUCCGAGUAGUGUGGACGUUUAUUGGGCCUAAAGCAUCCGUAGCUUGCUCGAUAAGUCCCCUGUUAAAUCCACCGAUUCAAUCGUUGGAUUGCGGGGGAUACUGUUUGGCUAGGGGACGGGAGAGGUCGACGGUAUUUCCGGGGUAGGGGUGAAAUCCUAUAAUCCCGGGAGGACCACCAGUGGCGAAGGCUGUCGACUAGAACGCGCCCGACGGUGAGGGAUGAAAGCUGGGGGAGCGAACCGGAUUAGAUACCCGAGUAGUCC